UUUAGUUCAAGGGUGGAAUUGGAAUGAAUAAUGAAAUAGGAAUGAAUUAGAAUGGUAAUUGGAAUGACCCACUCCCCCAAAACGUUUGGUUUAUUUGUGGAUUGGAAAUUGGAAUGAGUUAUUCACAUUUCAUUGUUUGGUUCGUAUAAACUAAAAAAAUUAUAGGAUACUAUAAUACUAAUUUUACUCUCAAAUAUAAAUUUUAAAAUUUAUGAAAAAUAUAAUACUAUUCUCUAAUAAGUUUUUCAAAAAAAUUAUCGAAUUUAUUUUUAAAAACUUUUAUUGAUGUGGAUUAGGGAUAGGGUUUUGAGAGAGGAUAGGUUUUUUUUUAUUUAUUUUGAUGAGAAAGGGGUGAAGAGAAGGAAUGUGAGAUGGUCACAUGGGUUUCGAAAACUUAGUGGCCUUCUGGAAUGAAAUCUCAAUCCGGACUAGAAGACCGGAAUCAAUUUAAAGGCUAAUGGGCCAUUCCCAUUCCAGUCCGAUUCCUAUUUCAUACCCAAAAUGGAUAAACCAAAUAAGCACUAAGCUACUGUUUGGUUCAGGGUUAAGGAAAAACUAGUUAUUCCAGGUAUAGGGUUAAGUUCAGAGUUAAUGUGGGGUUAGAGUAUUUUUUUGUUUAGUUGGGAUAGUGGGAUAAGAAGGAUAGUGGGUUAUUAUGAAUAGAAAAUAGUGUUUGGUUGGGGUUUGGUAGGAUUAGGUGGGGUUAGCUAAUCCGGAAUAGCCCAUUUGAGAUGAGGUUAGGUAACUUUGAAAGUGUUUGAGGAUAAUAUGGGGGUUAAGAAGUUAUUCCACCUCUUAACCCCCAACCAAACAAAGGCUAAAAGUAAUCUUGGGAUUAACCUGAAUAUAUUCAAAAUUACCAUUUUGAUAAUUUUUUAAAAAGACAUAGAACUUUUCACAAUUAUAAACUAAAAGUGUAUUACACGUGAAAGUUUAGACGUUAAAAAUUAAGUUUAGAAAUCAAGUGGGAAUAUUUGGAAAGACUAGAUGCGCUAUUCGUGCAUUUUAGUCAAAAUAAUAUUAAAUAUUGCCGUACAUCCAUCUAUCAUCAAUGCAAGUGUAAUAAUUGAGAGUUGUAUCGACCGUUGCUAGAACAAGUGGCAAAUGGCUUCGUGGUUGGUACCCGAGACCAAAAUUCGAAUCCUAGCUGAUUCAUAUUUCUAGCUAAGUUUAUUUCUAAAUGAAAUAAACGAAGCGAAUAGCGUGCUACUUAUCUCUCAAAAAAAUAAUAAUAAUAAUAAUAAUUGAGAGUUGUAUGUGAUAGACUGCAAAU
rnacentral:lncRNA from 1 species